rnacentral:rRNA from 1 species
CAUGCAUUUCCCUAGUAGCGGCGAGCGAGCGGGAAGAGCUCAAAUUUAUAAUCUGGCACCUUCGGUGUCCGAGUUGUAAUCUCUAGAAGUGUUUUCCGCGUUGGACCGCACACAAGUCUGUUGGAAUACAGCGGCAUAGUGGUGAAACCCCCGUAUAUGGUGCGGACGCCCAGCGCUUUGUGAUACACUUUCAAUGAGUCGAGUUGUUUGGGAAUGCAGCUCAAAUUGGGUGGUAAAUUCCAUCUAAAGCUAAAUAUUGGCGAGAGACCGAUAGCGAACAAGUACCGUGAGGGAAAGAUGAAAAGCACUUUGGAAAGAGAGUUAACAGUACGUGAAAUUGUUGGAAGGGAAACGCUUGAAGUCAGACUUGCUUGCCGGAGCUUGCUUCGGUUUGCAGGCCAGCAUCAGUUUUCCGGGGUGGAUAAUGACGGUUUGAAGGUAGCAGUCUCGGCUGUGUUAUAGCUUUCCGUUGGAUACAUCCUGGGGGACUGAGGAACGCAGCGUGCUUUUUGCGAAAGACUCGUCUUUUUCACGCUUAGGAUGCUGGUGGAAUGGCUUUAAACGACCCGUCUUGAACACACGGACCAA